GUGGUCGAGAUGGGGAAGACAGGCACAUGAAAGACUAACUCGUUUAUCGAGCUUCAUUGACAAGCUGUGCAUGAGUUAGUAAUGCACGUGCCCUGCUUCUCCAUCUUGCUCAA
rnacentral:pre_miRNA from 1 species